UUGCAUGCUUGCCUUGCUUCAGUGUACCAUAUUUUCGCUCUGUCAUACUUUUUCAUAUUGUUUUUCUGUGCACCACUAAAGCUACAAAAUCCCCAAAGAUGUGCUUGGACUUUGAACUACUUCGGAGAUACAGAUUACUGAGCAGCUGCGAGCAAAGCAUGAAUGAAUAUGAGAGAGAGAGAAAUGCUAAUGACACUGCGCUGCAGUUUGCUGUGAGUCAGACCAUCCCCCACGUGGCAAAAACUUCACUCUGUCUCGUGUUUGGGAGUGCGUCAUGACAAGUUCAAAGACUCCCCAUCUACGUCUCUCUGAAUCCCUGCAAGAGUUCUUAAAUAAUCCAGCUCCACAAUGGACUUCGGUGCUGAAGGGACACGCAGUGAAGGAUUACUUCUCUUAUCAGUGACAACCCAAGCGCAGGGGAGACAAAUCCCACAAGUCCAGGCUGCACCAGAAGAAGUAAGAGAAGGACAGUAAGGACUGCCUGUGUGGAAGAGUUACUGUACAGUAUAUGAA